rnacentral:rRNA from 1 species
UACGUAGGUGACAAGCGUUGUCCGGAUUUACUGGGCGUAAAGAGCGCGCAGGCGGUCGUUCAAGUCGAGUGUGAAAGCCCCCGGCUCAACUGGGGAGGGUCAUUCGAUACUGAUCGACUGGAAGGCAGGAGAGGGAAGUGGAAUUCCCGGUGUAGUGGUGAAAUGCGUAGAUAUCGGGAGGAACACCAGUGGCGAAGGCGACUUCCUGGCCUGUUCUUGACGCUGAGGCGCGAAAGCUAGGGGAGCAAACGGGG